rnacentral:rRNA from 1 species
UGGGGAAUAUUGCACAAUGGGCGCAAGCCUGAUGCAGCCACGCCGCGUGUAUGAAGAAGGCCUUCGGGUUGUAAAGUACUUUCAGCGAGGAGGAAGGCGUUGUGGUUAAUAACCGCAGCGAUUGACGUUACUCGCAGAAGAAGCACCGGCUAACUCCGUGCCAGCAGCCGCGGUAAUACGGAGGGUGCAAGCGUUAAUCGGAAUUACUGGGCGUAAAGCGCACGCAGGCGGUCUGUCAAGUCGGAUGUGAAAUCCCCGGGCUCAACCUGGGAACUGCAUCCGAAACUGGCAGGCUAGAGUCUUGUAGAGGGGGGUAGAAUUCCAGGUGUAGCGGUGAAAUGCGUAGAGAUCUGGAGGAAUACCGGUGGCGAAGGCGGCCCCCUGGACAAAGACUAACGCUCAGGUGCGAAAGCGUGGGGAGCAAACA